rnacentral:rRNA from 1 species
GAUGGACCCGCGGUGCAUUAGCUAGUUGGUGAGGUAACGGCUCACCAAGGCAACGAUGCAUAGCCGACCUGAGAGGGUGAUCGGCCACACUGGGACUGAGACACGGCCCAGACUCCUACGGGAGGCAGCAGUAGGGAAUCUUCGGCAAUGGACGAAAGUCUGACCGAGCAACGCCGCGUGAGUGAAGAAGGUUUUCGGAUCGUAAAACUCUGUUGUUAGAGAAGAACAAGUGGGAGAGUAACUGUUCCCGCCUUGACGGUAUCUAACCAGAAAGCCACGGCUAACUACGUGCCAGCAGCCGCGGUAAUACGUAGGUGGCAAGCGUUGUCCGGAUUUAUUGGGCGUAAAGCGAGCGCAGGCGGUUUCUUAAGUCUGAUGUGAAAGCCCCCGGCUCAACCGGGGAGGGUCAUUGGAAACUGGGAGACUUGAGUGCAGAAGAGGAGAGUGGAAUUCCAUGUGUAGCGGUGAAAUGCGUAGAUAUAUGGAGGAACACCAGUGGCGAAGGCGGCUCUCUGGUCUGUAACUGACGCUGAGGCUCGAAAGCGUGGGG